GGGUCAGUAGGUUGGCCGGGCCACCGGUACGUACUGGUCUCACUGAUUCCUCCUUCCUGAAGAACCGUAAUGCCAUUAAUUUGGUGUUGCGGGGAAACAGGACUGUUACUUUGAAAAAAUUAGAGUGUUUAAAGCAAGCUAACGCUUGAAUACAUUAGCAUGGAAUAAUGAAAUAGGACGAUCGAUCCUAUUUUGCUGGUUUCUAGGAUUGACGUA
rnacentral:rRNA from 1 species